GCGGGCAUGGCGGAACAGGUAGACGCACAGGACUUAAAAUCCUGCGCUAGCAAUAGCAUGCCGGUUCGAUUCCGGCUGCCCGCACCA
rnacentral:tRNA from 1 species